rnacentral:sRNA from 1 species
CCACUCCUACGGUUUGGGCACAUACCCGGCAAUGCCCCGACCGUUGAGGGGCUCCAGCGCAAGUUGGAGCCCUUUUUUUUUG